UUUUUUUCGCCUAAAUGAGUCCGGAAGCCUUCUUUAUCCAUUGAUUUGUCUCUCCAAUGAAUUUAACUUGUGAUAAUGUGAUCAUUCAGUUUUAAAUCGGUGACAAGCUUUAAAGAAGGAUAGAAACAGAAGAGAUUAACUUGAAAUAUAUAUCUUCUUGCACUCUCUCCAUGGUACAAAAGCCAGCUGAAGGAGUCUAACUGUGCACCAUUAGUUUUUACACAAAAUUUUUCUGCCCCGAUUAUUACCACAUUUUUUUCAUCGCUGCCUUCAAUCAUCAUUUCAUUCGUUACAUGAUGUUAAAUUAAAUUGAUUUUGGUGUCCAACUAUGGCCUACUAACUCAACAUUGUCACAAUUAUUAAACAUAUGGAGAUGCUUCGAAAGCUGGAUUUUGUGCCUCAACUUUUACUGUUUGCUGUAAUUUGAUGAACCAGUAACUUAGAUGAUAACCAUCUUGAUUGAAGACGAUGAAACAGAUAAUGAUGGAGCAGAUGAUGAAAAGUAAGCAAAAAAAAGCAAGAAAUUAAGAUAGACAGAUUACGGCUGAUUUGAUGACAAACCAUUCAGAUUCCAUGUUAAAUUGACAUUUCAAAAUAUUACCAUUUCCGUGGUUACUGACGAGGUGAGAGGAUCAAAUCAUUUAGGGAUGUAAAUUGUCCGUAAAAUUGUUCUUCAUAUUGUGGGUAACAAGGGAAUCUGGAAAUUGUUAUUAUUCCUAUUAUCAUCACCAUUAUGGAUUAUUUUGUUAUAAAGGCGAUAAUCAUUAACAGUGGGUGAGAAAAAAACUGGCAAUCCAUUCACUAAUAAUGAUGUUGUCGUCAAUGAUUAAGAUGAUGAUAAAAUGGCAAACUGAACAGACAAAGUCAAUAGUUAAUAAUCAUAAUAGUGUGCACUACCUUUAAUUCAUUAACUACUCUUUCAUUAGUAAAGUUUCUGGUCACAACAAACGCUUAUUUCUUAGACAUUGAAACAUACUUGAAACGCACUGACUGAUUUUUGAUGCUAAUAAUUGGUUAAAUUGUCGAUAAUAAUAUCAUCUCAAAAUGUGAUCAUGAUUAUUAGGAUGACGCUGGAAGGAAUCGUAUUUUGAAAUUUUAAAAAUAGCCAAAUAUUCACUGUUUCAACUGUGAUUUUUCAUUAUAACUUCAUGUGACCCUGAUAUGGAUAAGGAAUCAGCCAAUUAUGGACUUCAGAACUUAUAAAUUCCGUAUAUUUAUCCGCAACACAAUUAACUCUGAUUGCGUUGAUCAUCUUUUAAUUUGGGACAUCAGAGUCCAUUGGAAACAUUAGCUUCAAUGGAAAUAUUGGAUCCAUCUGUUAUUGACGACCAAAUCAGUGGCUACUUGUGUCCAGAUGAACAAAAUGAAUAACGAAUCAAUUUAUAUAAUUUUCAUUGGAGUUAUUGCUUCCCAUGUAAAGACUGUCAAGAGUCAACAACGAUAAUUAGCUUUAUUUAUAGUAAUAUGAUCAACUACAUCAAUCUUGAUAAUUUUGCUGAUAACAAACUUUAAUCAUUUUUAGCUUCAGGGUAAAGGUUUUCAUGGAUAUUAUUUUACAACCAGUGAUUUGAUGCAAUUUAAGAAACAAUAUCCUUUACCUGUGAUUCUGUAAAGUCUAACACUUAGCUGUACACCUUUGAUUAAGUGAGUUUCCACUCAUUAAUGAUCACUCAACAUGAUAUCCAAUAACUUCAUAGUACAAGAAUCACUUUUAAUUGAAGUUAAAAGUUCACAUAAAUAACUGGUUAACCCUUUAAAAUCUAGUCAAUUUAAACCUCUUAAACGGUUGCUUAUUUAUUUUGUAUUAUUUUGUAUUAUUAUCUCCCAAAUUGACUCAAUUUUCAUUUUUAAUCAUGUCAAGCCUUUCAAUAUUGCUGCUUCAUUAAUCAUAGAGUGACCAAGAAACAGGAACAUCUAAUUAUACAUUCAUUAUAAUUAUUUCAUUACAAGAUUAAA